GCUGAGACACGAAAGCAUUGGGGUAGCGAACGGGAGUUAGAUACCCCGGUAGUCCAUCGCCGUAAACGAUGCGAACUAGAUCGAGGAGGUUUGACGCCCUCUUGGUCGAAGCAAAAGUGUUAAGUUCGCCGCCUGGGGAGUACGGUCGCAAGGCUAAAACUCAAAUGAAUUGACGGGGGCCCGCACAAGCGGUGGAGCAUGUGGUUUAAUUCGAUGCAACGCGAAGAACCUUACCUACUCUUGACAUACUAGAAACUUUUCAGAGAUGAAUUGGUGCCUUCGGGAAUCUAGAUACAGGUGCUGCAUGGCU
rnacentral:rRNA from 1 species